rnacentral:lncRNA from 1 species
AGAGGAAGGAGAGAUCAUGGCGGACGGGAGGCAAGACUAGCCUGCAGCUCUGGACAGAGCAGCGAGUGGGAGCUCGCAUUGUAAACUUUAGCUCCAGAUGGACGGCAAAAACAAACCAGCAAUCCCCAGAGGACCCACAGACCCUCUGAAGGAAGUGGGCUGCUCCUGCAGGACCCGGGAGACCCCCAAAACUGUGAGUGUCCAGCUGCCGAAGUGGGAAAGGGAAACCCUCCUCUCCGGAACAGACACCCCCUGAGAAGUCUAUUUGUGGGAGAAGUUUCCGACUUUACCUGGAGCUGAGUCAGUCUGGAGAGCUGACUGAAAUACAGGGAUAGAGGAGGCAGCAGCAAGGCCCUGGGAGCUGAAUGGGUCCCCGGGCAGCCCAUUCCUGCCUGGCACCACAGGGAUCCAACGGGAGAGGAACAGAGGGUAAAACUACACGGAGAGAAGGAAAUCUCUAGCUGAACUUUGUAACAAUUCGAACAGCGUGAGAAGUCUCCUGGCCAGAACUCGGGGGAGGACACAAAUCUCCUGCACAGUUAAUAUCCAGAGUCACACGUGGAGAGGAAGCAUCACAAUGAGACCAUACAACCAUAUAAUCUGUUCAAGUCCUAGAAGGUGUUGGCAGAGCUGCAGGACUGACCUAGGUCAAUGGCUGUGGGGUAAGGAGAGAGGUUUUGUGAUUGUUUUUAAAAAUCCCAGUGGGUAUAGCAGGCGCAUCCCUGUCUUCCUCAAUCGUGGAAGCUAGGGAUUUUAAUCAGCUUUGGGAUAGAUUGCCCUUUGCUAUAGUCACAUGUCCUCUGCAGUGCUGUGAACACCUCCUAUGUGAGGCAAUGCAUGACCAGCAAGGUUGGGAAUCCAGUGAUAAGCCUCAGAGUAAAUGCUUCCUAUCAAAUGUGAUAAAGUGAUCUUGUAAACUGAACAAUUCCUAUAGAAAAAUGUAUGUCACUCAAGACUUAUGGGGUUUCUUCAAGGAGAUAAUCUCGUUUAAGUUUGAACUCAGGCUAUUAUGUGCCAGUCUGUAAUAGUUUUGGGAAAACUGUAUUUAUUUUUGUUUGAAUAUUGGAUCCCACUGGAGAUUAGAAACAGAGAUGACAAACACUGUAAGAGAUACAUAGGUAUAUAGAUAGAUCGAUCUGAUCUCCUCUACUCAGGUCAUAGAAAAAACUGUAUUUAUUUUUGUUGGAGUAUUUGAUCCCACUGGAGAUUAGAAACAGAGGUGACAAACACUGUAAGAUAGAUAGAUAUCUGAUGUCUUUCCCCCAGGUCAUAGAAAAAAAAACCCAAAAGAUCUUAAAGUAGUUUAAUGCAGGCCACCCUAGACUACUCUUGCAGUAGAAUCACAUGGAACUAAAUCACUCAACCCCAGGAAGUGCUCCAUUGUUUAGGACUGAGGUCUGAUGUCUUUGGGAGGUCAAAGGGUGUAUAUUGGUGUCACCAUGUGUGGGGUAGCUUGGGGGUGGCCCUGAAGGAAAUUGUUUGUAUUGUCACUUUCUGAGGGAGGCCAAUCCUGAGGCAAGAAAAAAAAGGAAUUGAGAGUGGGAGUUAUAUAGAGAUAUGGAAAAACCUUUCCCCUUAUUCAGAAGCCUUAUGGUAUUUUAUUCUAGAAUCUGCCAAUUAGAGAACCUCAACCUAUGGCUAAUAAUGGGCAUCUGCUUGGCCUUAGCCAGGGUACUAGGCUUGGAGCCAGGCUCGCAUGUGGCUGAAAAAAGACUCAGAGGAUGCCUUGAGCAUUAGCCCUGAGUUCAGCCUUUUACAGUUUCCAGUCUAAGGUUCAAGUCUCUAAUAUGUUUUGGUUGAUUUUUUAUGUGAUGUGAGGUAAGGGUCCAAUUUCAUUCUUCUGCAUGUGGCUAUCCAGUUUCCCCAGCAGCAUUUACUGGAGAGACUAUUCUUUCCACAUUGUGUUUUAUUAAUGCCCUUGUUUAAAAUUAGUUGAUAAUAGAUGCAUGGGUUUAUUUCUGGGCUAUUUUGUUUCAUUGGACUGUGUAUCUGUUUUAUGCCCAUAUCAUGCUGUUUUGAUUACUACAGCUUUGCAAUGUAAUUUGAAACCAGGGAAUGUAAUUCUUUCAGCUUUGUUCGUCUUGUGCAAGAUUGCUUUAGGUAUUCGGGAUAUUCUGUGAGUCCAUAUGAAUUUAAGGAUUUUUUUUUCUAUUUCUGUAAAAAAUGCCAUUGGAGUUUUGAAAUGGAUUGCACUGAAUCUGUAGAUCACAUUCGGUAGUAUGAAUAUUUUGACAAUAUUUAUUCUUCUGGUUUUUUAACAUUGUUCUGGUUUUCAUUUUUUGUCUAUUUUAAUUCUUUACAUCAGUAUUUUAUAGAUUUCAAUGUACAGAUCUUUCACAUCUGUGGAUAAAUUUAUUCCUAAGUAAAUUUUUACUACCAUAAAUGAAUUUUUUCUUAAUUUCUACAUUAAGAAAAAAGAAAGAUCUCAAAUAAUCCAAUUUGACAACUCUUGGAACUAGAAAAUGAAGAACAAAGUAAGCCCAAAGUUGGUAGAAGGAAAGAAAUAAUAAAGAUUGGAGCAAAAACAGAUUGAGAAGAAAGGCAAUAGAAAAGAUCAAUGAAGCUGAGAGUGUUUUUUGUUAAAAGAUAAACAAAACUGACAAAUCUUUAGCUAGACUAGCUAAGACAGAGAAAAGACUCAAAUAAAAUUACAAAUUAAUGUGGAGUCAUUCCAACUGACACCACAGAAAUACAAGGGUUCAUUCAAGACUGCUAUGAGCAAUUAUACACCAAUGAUUGGAAAACCUAGAAGAAACUGAUAAAUUCCUAGAAACAUACAAUCUUCGAGACCAAAUUAUCAAGAAAUAAAAAAAACCUGAACAACCAAUAACGAGAAUAUUGAAUUAGUAAUAAUUUUUAAACCCUUUCAACAAAGAAAAGUUUACGAUGAGAUUGUUUCAUGGUGAAUUCUACCAAUUAAUGCCGAUUAUCCUCAAACUCUUCCAAAAACUGACGAAAAGGAAGUACAUUCAAACUCAUUUUCGAGGCCACAUUACCCUGAUGUAAAAGCCAGACAAGGACACUGACACUAUCAGAAAAGAAAACUACAGACCAAUAUUCUUGAUGAACAUAGAUGGAAAACUCUUCCACAAAAUACUAGCAAAUGAUUUUCAACAGCAUAUUAAAAGUAUCAUUGACCAUGAUCAAGUAUUACGUUGAUGAAAUUAUUUUUGCACCAACCUAACAGAAUUUAUUCCAGGGAUGCAAAAAUUAUUACUUUAUUAUUGAUAUAAUUCCACACACUGUUUUUAUGUUUGUACAAAGAGGAAUCUUGAUAGCAAGAAAAUAGUAUGUGUGUUAGAACU